rnacentral:pre_miRNA from 1 species
AGCGCAACUGCUGGAUUGUAUGGUAAGAGUGCGUUUGCUUUUGUAAGGAACUGGGAGGCUGUCUUCCAAAGUGGUGGUACCAUUUUGCAUUCCCACCAGCGAU